UUACGGCCACAUCACGUUGAAACGCGGGUUCCCGUAUGAUCAUCGCAUUUAAGCAUCGUCUAGCCUGGUCAGUACAUAAAUGGGUGACCUCUUUGAAAUACCAGGCGUUGUAAG